rnacentral:rRNA from 1 species
GAUGAACGCUGGCGGCGUGCUUAACACAUGCAAGUCGAACGGAAAGGCUCCUGCUUGCAGGGGUACUCGAGUGGCGAACGGGGGAGUAACACGUGGGUGAUCUGCCCUGCACUUCGGGAUAAGCCUGGGAAACUGGGUCUAAUACCGGAUAGGACGAUGGUUUGGAUUCCAUUGUGGAAAGUUUUUCGGUGUGGGAUGAGCUCGCGGCCUAUCAGCUUGUUGGUGGGGUAAUGGCCUACCAAGGCGUCGACGGGUAGCCGGCCUGAGAGGGUGUACGGCCACAUUGGGACUGAGAUACGGCCCAGACUCCUACGGGAGGCAGCAGUGGGGAAUAUUGCACAAUGGGCGCAAGCCUGAUGCAGCGACGCCGCGUGGGGGAUGACGGCCUUCGGGUUGUAAACUCCUUUCGCUAGGGACGAAGCGCAAGUGACGGUACCUGGAGAAGAAGCACCGGCUAACUACGUG